GAGCUGUCCUUAGUACGAGAGGACCGGGAUGGACGCACCGCUGGUGUACCAGUUGUUCUGCCAAGGGCAUCGCUGGGUAGCUAUGUGCGGACGGGAUAAGUGCUGAAAGCAUCUAAGCAUGAAGCCCCCCUCAAGAUGAGAUUUCCCAUUCCGCAAGGAAGUAAGAUCCCUGAAAGAUGAUCAGGUUGAUAGGUCUGAGGUGGAAGCGUGGUGACACGUGGAGCUGACAGAUACUAAUAGAUCGAGGACUUAACCUAU
rnacentral:rRNA from 1 species